rnacentral:rRNA from 1 species
UUGGAGGGCAAGUCUGGUGCCAGCAGCCGCGGUAAUUCCAGCUCCAAUAGCGUAUAUUAAAGUUGUUGCAGUUAAAAAGCUCGUAGUUGAACUUCGGGAUCAAUGGAUUGGUCAUGCCGAUGGUAUGUACUGGUCAUAUUGGUUCUCACCUUCUAAGGAACCAUAAUGUCAUUCAUUUGAUGUUUUGGGGAAUUAGGACUGUUACCUUGAAAAAAUUAGAGUGUUUAAAGCAGGCUAACGCUUGAAUACAUUAGCAUGGAAUAAUGAAAUAGGACAUCGCAUUCUAUUUUGUUGGUUUCUAGGAUCGAUGUAAUGAUUAAUAGGGAUAGUUGGGGGCAUUAGUAUUCAAUUGUCAGAGGUGAAAUUCUUGGAUUUAUUGAAGACUAACUACUGCGAAAGCAUUUGCCAAGGAUGUUUUCAUUAAUCAAGAACGAAAGUUAGGGGAUCGAAGACGAUCAGAUACCGUCGUAGUCUUAACCAUAAACUAUGCCGACUAGGGAUCGGAUGAUGUUAAUUUUUUAAUGACUCAUUCGGCGCCUUACGGGAAAC